UAUAAACAAUAAAUAAUAAAAAUUUAAUUCCAGUUCAAUAAAUAAAAAGACCUUGGAUACCAAAGAAGACUUCAAGAAUAUGCAGUACUAAUUUUAUUGAAGUAUUCGCGCUGUUAAGCAAGUCGGACGCCACCUGGCGAGUAAACAUCUGAAACUUCGAGUACCCCUCAAUCAGCCGUUUGAAUUUGAACAGAAAUUUCGAUAUUCAUUCGUAUCUAGUUUUCAAAAAAGCAAAACGGAAUAGGAUUCGAUCGUCAUAAUUACCGCUCUGCGAAGUUACAUCACUGCGCAUGUAUAACCCGCGGAUCUCUCAGUGUACGACUAAACAAAUAAAAGCAAAAAGAAAACCAAGUGGAUCGCACCAGCACGCUCUGUUUCGCAGCUGAUUCUUCGUACACUGUUAACAACUUAACACUAUCCAUUCACGGAAGCUUCAGGAAACAUGCCAUUUGAUACUUCAACAUCAAUGUAUCAUCAUUCAUCCUAUCUGUUUCAUCGGCACAGGUGUCUUUUAUAUUUUCUACUGUACUGUCUUCUUCUAUGUUAACUGAAUCAUAAUUUUCAAAAUUUUCAUCGACGAAUGAAAAAACGGGAGAUGUGCACGGAAGAGAUGCCAAUGCAUUAUAAUUGAUCUCUUUAUCCGUCACGUUGCCUUCGCAUCCAUAAAAUUGUUGCGACGUACCUGAUAUUGUUGCCCGGCACAAAUCUGGUACAUCUUCACUCUUUCCACCUCUUCUCAUCCGUGUCCUACGCACUUUCUGUUUCACAGAAGUGCGUCUUGAACAAUUACUUCUCACUUUCUUACUCUUUGCAUGCAAACCACUUAACUAC